rnacentral:lncRNA from 1 species
GGUGUUUAAGCAAUAAUUAGUGACUUUUGUUAUAGUAGAAUAAAUUUACAAAAAUAAAUAUAAUCAUCAUAUAAUAUGAAACCAUACAAGGGUCUCGACUUAUCACAAAAAUAUUUGACGUCUAUUACUUUUUUUCCUUUUUCUGGACUCAUCUUUAUUUUCCUUAUUAUCCGAUCUUUUUUUAUCUUACGUUACGUCCCGUCUUUUGCCAUCUUUUUUUUUACCGUAACUCUUUCUUCCUUAUCCGGUCCUUCUCCUAUCCAUCAUCUCUGUACUCCUCGCAGCAGCGAGUCGCUCGAUCCGGCCCCAUCUUGCUGCUCCAACCUCGCGCUCGUUCCCUCGGCACCCCGCUGGUCCGCUCCCGUCCCUCGCUACACCGCAUCUCCGCCUGACCACGCGGAGCCAAGGUGAGGAAGCUGGGCUAUGCGGUUGUGGUCGCGGCCGCGCAGGUAAGAUGCUUGGUGCGAGCACCAGCCGAUGCGGGGCCGCCGGUCCAGGCGCCAGCAAUAGCGGCGGAGGCAUGGAAGGCCAUGGAGCGGCGCAUCAGCCGCCGGUCCAGGCGCCAGCAAUCGCGGCGGAGGCAUGGACAGCCACGGAGCGCUCGCGCCGGCGCCGGCGUCGACCGAGCAAGUGGCAAUUUCAGGUGUGAUUUUGCCCAACUUUAAGGGUAGUUUUGUACUAGUAUGUGUGUGGACGAGGGAGGAGCCGGGAGGAGCCAGUUUUUUUUAGCUCCUGCCCUCCCGAACGGCUUCUCUGAGCGGGAUUUGGGGGGCUUCGCGUGUGGAGCUGUUUGGUGCCUUCCCGUUUGGCAGGGCUCCUUAUGAAGCCGUUGAAGAAGCCGGUCACGGAGCCCUGCCAAAGAGGGCCUUAUUCAGAGUGUGAUCUUUGCCCUUGAGACUUGGCUAUGUCCAAGUCGCUCUAGUAGUAUCUUUAAGACAUCUGAUGAGAUGGUCGCUGGUCAAACAAUUGCCGUAGUUAACCGGCAAACCUGUUAGUGUGUGUUGGUUUCCUUGCGUCUAAAAUUUAGAGGGGUCACAUCAAAAAUAAUCUUGUCAUUUAGAAGUAUUAAAUAAAGUCUAAUUAUAAAACUAAUUGCAGAACCCCAGUGCUAAUUCGCGAGACGAAUCUAAUGAGGUAUAUUAGUCCAUGAUUAGCGGAUGAUUACUGUAGCAUCACUGUGGCAAAUUAUGGAUUAAUUAGGUUCAUUAAAUUUGUCUCGCGAAUUAGCACCCAGCUGUGCAAAAAAUUUUAUAAACAGAUUUUAUUUAAUACUUCUAAAUAGAGAUUCUUUUUGAUACGAUGGGUCUAAAAUUUAGAGGGUAGGAAACGAACAGGCCCUUAGCCGAUGAAGCUGGGAACGCACGCAAACAAGAACUGGAACGCAGGAGUUUGGUGCUGCUAACACCUGGGAACGCGCGCAAACACGAACUGGAACACAGGAGUUUGGUGCUGCUAACACCCGACAGCUUUUCCAUUGCAUUGAUCAACAAUGUAUCGAACAAAGUAAAAAACCUUGAAAAGAAAUCACUUUGCACAGCUUGAAAAAAGAACUCAAUUACCGGAAACAAUUGUUUAAUACAACUCGUGUAUACCUGAGACGAAAUUCUAGUGGCCCAGAUGAAAAAUGGAUUCUUUGAUCUCCUACAACAACAGAGCCUUUUCAUCCCAAGCUAGUCAACCUAAUUCAAUGUUAUCGGUAUUAUGCUUCCCUGUUUUGCCUUCUGAAGGACUUUAGUCGGAAAGAAUGUUCUAUGCUGAAACUGCUGACUGAGCAUCUGAGGAUCCUGCAGCUUGAUUAUCUUUCUCGCUUGAUCUUCGUUUCAUCGUUCUCCUAACUUCUUCCUCCUUCUUGUCGACAAAUUGUAUCAGCUCUUUGAAGCUGCCAAGGCGUGAUGGCCUCCGCUGUCUUUCGGCAGCAUCAGCGGCAGUGGGAGCAGCAUCAGCAUCAGCUGCACUGGGCUCACCAGC